GUUCCUUCAUGAUGCGUUCUGUUAAAAAUAUGACCUUUCCCAAUUUGGACACAUUGUAAGCUUCACAGUUAUGGGUAUGGAGAAAUAUAAUGAGAUGGAGGACCACCAAGCCUUACCACCCGACCUGCAUUUUUACCCUCCACAUUCCUGGGGAUUGUC